GUCUAGGGUCACACCACUCUGAGUGUGCCUGGCCUGCCUGAUCUUGGAAGUUAAGCAGGGUCGGGCCUGGCUAGAACUUGGGUGGAAGAGACAAAGAGCCUUUCCUGAAGGGUCAUGAGCAUCCCAUCCC
rnacentral:rRNA from 1 species